rnacentral:rRNA from 1 species
UACGGAGGGUGCGAGCGUUGUCCGGAAUCACUGGGCGUAAAGGGCGCGUAGGUGGCGCGGGAAGUCAACGGUGAAAGUUCGGGGCUCAACCCUGAAUCGGCCGUCGAUACUCCCGGGCUCGAGCACUGUAGAGGCAGAUGGAAUUCCGGGUGUAGCGGUGGAAUGCGCAGAUAUCAGGAGGAACACCAAUAGCGAAGGCAGCUCGCUGGGACGUUACUGACACUGAGGCGCGAAAGCGUGGGGAGCGAACAGG